CCGAAACCCUUCUUCAAAUUCAGGUUCUGACCCGAAAUGUUGCCUGUUCUGUUUCUCCGGUGAUGUUGCCGGACCCGCUGGGUUGCUCCAGCAUUUUGUGU